rnacentral:rRNA from 1 species
CCCUUAGAUGUCCUGGGCUGCACGCGCGCUACACUGAUACAUUCAUCGAGUGUUUCCUUCUCCGAAAGGAGUGGGUACUCUUCUGAACGUGUGUCGUGAUGGGGAUAGAUUAUUGCAAUUAUUAAUCUUCAACGAGGAAUUCCUAGUAAGUGCAAGUCAUCAGCUUGCGUUGAUUACGUCCCUGCCCUUUGUACACACCGCCCGUCGCACCUACCGAUUGAAUGGUCCGGUGAAAUCUCGGGACGGCGGCUUGGUCGCUUGCGUCCGACUGCUGAAACUUGAUUAAACCAUAUCAUUUAGAGGAAGGUGAANUCGUANCA